rnacentral:rRNA from 1 species
UGGGGAAUAUUGCACAAUGGGCGCAAGCCUGAUGCAGCCAUGUCGCGUGUGUGAAGAAGGCCUUCGGGUUGUAAAGCACUUUCAGCGGGGAGGAAGGCGAUAAGGUUAAUAACCUUGUCGAUUGACGUUACCCGCAGAAGAAGCACCGGCUAACUCCGUGCCAGCAGCCGCGGUAAUACGGAGGGUGCAAGCGUUAAUCGGAAUUACUGGGCGUAAAGCGCACGCAGGCGGUCUGUCAAGUCGGAUGUGAAAUCCCCGGGCUCAACCUGGGAACUGCAUUCGAAACUGGCAGGCUAGAGUCUUGUAGAGGGGGGUAGAAUUCCAGGUGUAGCGGUGAAAUGCGUAGAGAUCUGGAGGAAUACCGGUGGCGAAGGCGGCCCCCUGGACAAAGACUGACGCUCAGGUGCGAAAGCGUGGGGAGCAAACAGG